AUUAAGUACUGCAAAAGUCAAGGCAUGCAUUUAAAAUGAAACAGCUGAACAGUUUAAGGCUUGUUUCAUGCAGAAUUGUGCAAAAUACAUUGUGUCAUCUUGCAGUUUAAAUGGGUCAAUAUAUCUCCAGUGUCCACAUUAUGCAAUGCACUAGACUUCGCCUUCACUGAGCCUGCAGUUGCACUGUAACCUCACACCCACGCUUGCUCCAAAACAACAAAGACAGAUGGGGAUUAUGGAGGAUUUGUAGCAUGCAUGUGUCACCAUCAGUCUGUGCCUGAACAAUGCACGCCAUCCUAGCUUUCAUCUGCACGGUUAACGGCGAUCAUCCAAAGAGCCCCUCCUGAGACAGCAGCCUGUUAUUUCCACUGCCCCCCCACCCACCUCCUUCUCUUUUUUUUCACUCCUUCUCUCCCUCUCCAGGGUGAAGGAAAGAGUGAGGAGUGAGAGACGGAUAGGAGCAGGGGAGAGGUGUUGUCCAGACCAGAAGGGGCCUCUGAAAGUGUUGCAUAGAAACAGCGCCCUCGCAUCUGGCCGGACCCCCGGUAGUGCCAGGAAACAUGCCAGGAAUGCAAGGAAUGGCCCAGUGAACGAUAAGGAGGAAAUUCCCCGCAGCAGACUGGACUGAAAGCCCAGAAACAACAGGACGAGCAAUGGGGAGAAAUGAAAUGGAUGACGACAAAGAGUGGGAUGGGAGGGGAUGGAACAGGAUGCCUGGACAGACACAGGUCUAGGUUUGACACUAAAGACAAUAAACACAGUGACAGAGGCUAUCCUUGGAAACAGAGAGGGAUGACGACGAUGGGGUGGUGACACGUGAAGAGAGAAAAGAAAGGAUUGGGUUUGGAUGACUGGAGAGAGAAUGAUGACACGAUCAUUGAGAAAAGCUAAUCACCAGUGAAAAAUGAAAUGAUGCUCAGUGGCGUCCCAAAGGAGGGGCCAGGGAGGGCCAUGACCCUGCUGAUAUAAUGGCUGGCUGCCUCUCGUUAGCAGCUAGAGCUCGUAGGAUGUAGUGAACUCAACAAUCACACAUGGGGCGAAUAAAGUGACACCGAUGCUAUAUGCUGUAACAUAAGUAGUAACAGUUUUUGUUUAGCAGAGGAGGGUUAUGUUUGGGAUGGCUCUAGUGCGUCUUUAAGCACGCUUUUUGGGCCGGCCCAAAAAAUCCUGGA